rnacentral:lncRNA from 1 species
ACAAACAUGAUGGGUCAAAAUGCAAUGCAGUGCAGUAGAUGUAUGCAACAAACAAAGGUCAUAUUCAAAGGAGACUUGGCAAUGCUAACAGUAAUGGAAUCAAUACCACAUAAUCAAAGGAGUGAAUGCUGGUGGAAGCAUAUAUUGGAAGGAUUAACUGCACAGCAAUGAGAGAGAGAGAAGAGGGAUUAACUGUACAGCAAUGAGUGAGGAAAGUCAAGGUGACAACUUUGUUGGGUUGGAUAAAAAUGCAACAAUGCCAUCGUGAAUCAUCGGUCUUGAUGCACCUCCUCACUUGGUCUUGUAGCUUUUAUAACUUCCAAGAUGUACCCUCCUCUCUAAUCCUAACCCUGCUCUGCGCUGCACUGCCGUGCCCUCUUCAUCUUCCUUUUUUUUAGCUCACUUUUCUUUCUUCUUCUUCUUCAUUUCUCUUAUGGCUCUCGCCACCCCUUUUCUUUCCCAUGUCUGCAAUCUAACAAACUCAUCGCUGCCAUCUCCAACCCCCACAUCACUUGCACUGGAACCUACCCUUCCCUUACCUCCCGUUUCUCUGCCUGCUUGCCUCCUAGGUAUGUAUAUUCUUCUCACCUUUCUUCUCUUCUCUUGCUCUUGCUCUUUUAAUCUUUGUUUCUGCACAAUGCUCCCUCUAGUGUGGUAAAUCGGAGCUCACAAUUUCCAUCCGAUCCUACUCUCUCAUAUUCCUUGUCUGUUAACUCUUUAACACUCUUCCACUUGCCUGAUUUUGUAGCAUUCUGGAAAUCUCUUGACAGACUAGGGUUGGUAUGCUGCAUGCUUCUCAACUUUGAUUGUUUCCAAUUCUUAGGUCCAACUUUGCAAAUGCAUAUUUUUAGGUCCAGUUGAAACUUAAGUGACCGUAGGCUGAUACAUUAUAACAUGAGCACUUCGUUUCAAGUUAAGAGGGUCUGCUUUCAUUUCGAUUUAUUUUUUGCAAGUGUACUUUUUUUUAUCGGGAAUGAAGGUCUAUAGAUCUAUACCGUGUGACUUUCGUUGCUGUAGCUAGCUAUAUGUUUGUCAAGUACAGACCUACCUAGCUUAAAAGCAGUCACAGAUCAUGUCAGGUUAUCUCUGCAUCAUGUUAUUCAAAAACACAAACAUGGAUUCUUUUUGCUGACGGUCUACUUUCUGGUUUGAAGCAAUUUUAGGUUUUUGAGUCAUUAAAGUUUUGAGCUGGUGAUAUUUAAUCUUAAUCUUUUAUGAGGUUGGAGCUCAAUUCAGCAAGAACUGCUUAUCGUGCUUGAUAUCCAGUUCAACUGGUGCACCUUCCUCCCCAUUUUGAUUGAAACAAUUAGAUAGUUUGUCUGGGAUUGGAUUAGUUAACAGUUUAACCAUUCACACUAUAAAAUUUCAAGUCUUCAUGGCUUCAUAAUUCAUUGGGUUGAAAAAUUGAUGCUUGAAAGGAACAAUUACUGUACUGAUUCAUGUUUCAUAUGGGUAGUUCUAUAAUCAGUAUCUCAUCUAUAAUCAAGAUGUCAUCCGAUGGUCAAAAUUAGUGCUCAGAAAUUUCACGGAUGGAUGCCUUCCAAAAGAAUUUACGUCUUUCAUAGUGUUGUACAUUGAGUUGUGCAAUUGUCUUUUUUGAAAGAUUACAUGAGCGGUGACCGGAGACACACUUUCUUUUUAGGUGAAUGUUGUGGGCACUUGCAUAUUUCAAAUGCUUGUACAGAUCUUUGGAAUCAUAGUAAAAUGUGCAAAAGCUACUUGUACAAAAAGUAAGAUCUGUAUCUGCAUCUGAUUUGAAAUGAGUAUACUAAUGCAUUAGGUGAUGGAAUGACAUGAUGGGUAUUAUCGUAGUGAAAUACUUAUUAGUUCUCCUUAAGAAUGCAUCAAAUAAAAGCAUUGCUCUAAAUUUUCUAAGGCUAAAGAUGUAUCAUUAAAAUGAUACAUAUGUUGUUUAGGAUAGAAGAUGAUACUUGUGGUGUAGCAAUGUAGAUAGGAAAGUGUAGAAUAGUAAAGAAAGUAAAUCUAAUGUACAAUUAUGAAUAUAUGUCAAUAGGUUGAAUAUUGAAAAAUUUGU